rnacentral:rRNA from 1 species
AACGAACGCUGGCGGCAUGCCUAACACAUGCAAGUCGAACGAGACCUUCGGGUCUAGUGGCGCACGGGUGCGUAACGCGUGGGAACCUGCCCUUAGGUUCGGAAUAACUCCCCGAAAGGGGUGCUAAUACCGGAUAAUGUCUUCGGACCAAAGAUUUAUCGCCUUUGGAUGGGCCCGCGUUGGAUUAGCUAGUUGGUAGGGUAAAAGCCUACCAAGGCGACGAUCCAUAGCUGGUCUGAGAGGAUGAUCAGCCACACUGGGACUGAGACACGGCCCAGACUCCUACGGGAGGCAGCAGUGGGGGAUAUUGGACAAUGGGGGAAGGCCUGAUCCAGCAAUGCCGCGUGAGUGAUGAAGGCCUUAGGGUUGUAAAGCUCUUUUACCCGGGAUGAUAAUGACAGUACCGGGAGAAUAAGCUCCGGCUAACUCCGUG